CCUACGGGAGGCAGCAGUCGGGAAUCUUCCACAAUGGGCGCAAGCCUGAUGGAGCAACACCGCGUGAGUGAAGGAGGGUUUCGGCUUGUAAAGGUCUGUUGUUGGAGAAGCACGUGCGUGAGAGUAACUGUUCACGCAGUGACGGUAUUAACCCAGAAAGUCCAGGCUAACUACGUGCCAGCAGCCGCGGUAAUACGUAGGUGGCAGGCGUUAUCCGGAUUUAUUGGGCGUAAAGCGAGCGCAGGCGGUUGCUUAGGUCUGAUGUGAAAGCCUUCGGCUUAACCGACGAAGUGCAUCGGAAACCGGGCGACUUGAGUGCAGAAGAGGACAGUGGAACUCCAGGUGUAGCGGUGGAAUGCGUAGAUAUAUGGAAGAACACCAGUGGCGAAGGCGGCUGUCUGGUCUGCAACUGACGCUGAGGCACGAAAGCAUGGGGAGCGAACAGGAUUAGAUACCCUUGUAGUC
rnacentral:rRNA from 1 species